UACAGAGGGGGCAAGCGUUGUUCGGAAUUACUGGGCGUAAAGGGCGUGUAGGUGGCCAACUAAGUCCGACGUGAAAUCCCCAGGCUUAACCUGGGAACUGCGUCGGAUACUGGAUGGCUUGAAUCCGGGAGAGGGAUGCGGAAUUCCAGGUGUAGCGGUGAAAUGCGUAGAUAUCUGGAGGAACACCGGUGGCGAAGGCGGCAUCCUGGACCGGCAUUGACACUGAAGCGCGAAAGCCAGGGGAGCAAACGGG
rnacentral:rRNA from 1 species